rnacentral:rRNA from 1 species
GACAGAGGGUGCAAACGUUGUUCGGAAUUACUGGGCGUAAAGCGCGUGUAGGCGGCUAAGUAAGUCGGGCGUGAAAUCCCACGGCUCAACCGUGGAAGUGCACUCGAAACUGCAUAGCUAGAGUCCUGGAGAGGAAGGUGGAAUGCUUGGUGUAGAGGUGAAAUUCGUAGAUAUCAAGCGGAACACCGGCGGCGAAGGCGGCCUUCUGGACAGUGACUGACGGCUGAGAC